UAAAUCUUGAGUAAUCGCGGUCUACAUCAGUAGGCUGAGGAAGGUCCAUGCCCGCACAGGCUGAGAUGCUUGUAGUGUUCGUGCCUGGCCCAAUAAGCCAGGGUACCUUAAUGGUAACGGCGGAAAAAGCGCUAAAACUUCGGUCAUGCGUUAAUAUCCUUAAAUAGUGCCACAGUGACGGAGCGUUUGGGGAAACCCAAACGAUGGAACGAGGUAAACCCCGCGAGCGAGUAACCCAAACUUUGGUAGGGGCGUCUCAUUUAUGGAAAUGAACUAAAAAUGAGAGUUCGAAAGAACAGAUAGAUGAUUACUGAAGGAGCUUUCUUCCUGGGGAAGUUCUGGAACAAAACAUGGCCUAUAGAGGUU
rnacentral:RNase_P_RNA from 2 species